rnacentral:rRNA from 1 species
AGAACGAACGCUGGCGGCGUGGAUUAGGCAUGCAAGUCGUACGCGAAAGUUUCCUUCGGGGGAAUGAGUAGAGUGGCGAACUGGUGAGUACAAGGUGACUAACCUGCCCUUGAGUGGGGGAUAACUUCGGGAAACCGAAGCUAAUACCGCAUGGUCUCUUUGCCUUUCGAGGUGGAGAGUAAAGCAGCAAUGUGCUCAAGGAUGGGGUCACCCCCCAUUAGCUUGUUGGUAGGGUAACGGCCUACCAAGGCUACGAUGGGUAGCUGGACGUGAGGAGGUUGGCCAGCCACACUGGGACUGAGACUACGGCCAGGACUCCGUACGGGGGGCAGUCAGUCUAACGGAGGCUUACGGACAAGUCGACCCGAAAGGGU